rnacentral:rRNA from 1 species
CCUACGGGUGGCAGCAGUCGAGAAUCAUUCACAAUGGGGGAAACCCUGAUGGUGCGACGCCGCGUGGGGGAAUGAAGGUCUUCGGAUUGUAAACCCCUGUCAUGUGGGAGCAAAUUAAAAAGAUAGUACCACAAGAGGAAGAGACGGCUAACUCUGUGUCAGCCGCCGCGGUAAUACAGAGGUCUCAAGCGUUGUUCGGAAUCACUGGGCGUAAGGCGUGCGUAGGCUGUUUCGUAAGUCGUGUGUGAAAGGCGCGGGCUCAACCCGCGGACGGCACAUGAUACUGGGAGACUAGAGUAAUGGAGGGGGAACCGGAAUGCUCGGUGUAGCAGUGAAAUGCGUAGAUAUCGAGAGGAACACUCGUGGCGAAGGCGGGUUCCUGGACAUUAACUGACGCUGAGGCACGAAGGCCAGGGGAGCGAAAGGGAUUAGAUACCCGGGUAGUC